rnacentral:lncRNA from 1 species
ACUGGGAACCUCCAUAUACCAAAGGAGUGGCCCUAAAAAACAAAACAAAACCAAAAAAACCACCAAACCCCCAAGAUUCCUGACACGCAAGCCCCACUCCUUUCUGCUUCUCAUCUGCCUUUGCAGCUCUGGCUGCUGGACUGUCCUUCCUGGAAACUGCUGGCAGGCUAGUUCCCUGGCACAUAGUAGGCACGAAGAAAUUGACUGAAUGAAAGGAUGUGUCUUCCGCUGAGCUGUCUGUACACUUUGACAAGUAGUUCUGGAAUGUCAGGGACAAAAGAUACUUGAAGGCUUUCUAGAUGCCAGGUCCUGGUUGGGUGACCACUGUCUUGAUUUGCUGGGGAUUUUCUCAGCACUGGAAGUCUAAGAACCAGGAAACUCCUGGGACAAAGGCAAAUCGGGAGGGCUGGUCAUCAUGCUGGUUUAGAUGAUACAUGCUCAAUCUCGGUGGGACCUCUGGCAUCGUGGGAGAGGAUGACAUUAGUUCUCUCACAAAGAAAUAAGUAAUUACAAACUCUGAUGAAUGCAAAAAGGAAGGCGGCCCUGAGCUAAGUGCUGUGCCUACGAAGAGGCAAAGGCAUGGUCCUGGCCCUGGAGACAGAUUGCAGGAGGAGAGAGACACACACGGCUUGUUGAUCAUCAGGUACCCGGUGCCAUGGAUCAGAAGCCUGCACUCUCCCUGUUGGCAAUGCGCCGUUUCUAUUUUAAGUGAGGUUGCAAGCACCAGAAACCCACUCUGGUAAAUUAAAUAGAUAUACAUCUACUGAAAGGGCGUUACAGGGAAAAGCUGAAAAACUAGGUCUUGGAAGAGAGAGAAACAACAUGCUUCUUAGGGAGUUGAGAGAGUAAGAAAUACUCCAGAACAAAAGAGCAUGCUUUGUUCCGUUUCCAUUAGAAAAACUGACUCGAGCCAUUCUCUGCCCUUGGGUGUCUCUGCCCAAUAUUCUAAUUCCAGGAAGAAAGAAUUUGACAGCCAAGUCUGGGUCUCAGGCCCGCCCCUCUACUAGGCUCGGGAGGCACCGUGAUUAGAAAUGUCACCAGAAUCAUUUGCCAUGGGGCCUGGGGGCCGGGUGGUUGCUAAUGGAAACGGAAGGGCCAGGAUGCUGGGAAGGUGAGGGCCCUAGUCACCUGCUCUCUCCUCUUAUGAAGUGGUCCAGAUGCCACUUUCCCUACGGCUUCCUGUACUGUGGUCACUGCCUUCCAAGGAGCUCUCUGCUGGCCUUCUGUCCAGAACAUUCUGUUACCAUGGACAGCCUCAUGCUGACGGCUGUCUUAUCCAGCCACCUUGACCAUGACUACCUGGGAGCAUGCACUGUGUGCCUUAGGCCCAGCUGGUGCCAUUCCUGGCACAGAGAUGAAACUCUGUAAACGUCACUGAGGACUUUCUAGAAAGUUCUAAGGAGCACACUGCCCUCCAGCCAAACCGGUCUUCUUUCUGCUCCUCACAUACUCUGCUUGCCUUAUUAUCCCUUCCACCCAUUUCCCUGCUUUGCGGACCUCAUGGCUCAGCAGUUCUAUAAUCAGGGGAGAUUUUGUCCUCUAGGGAUAUUUGGUGAUGUCCAGAGACAGUUCUGGGUGUCACACUGGAGAGGGGGCUGCGACCGGCAGCCUUGGGAGCAGGCUAGAGAGGCUGGUAAACAACCUAGAAAGCAUGCACAGGGCAGACCCCACAGCAAGGACUGAUCAGGCCCCAAGUGUCCCUAGUGCUGGGGCAGAGGCGUCCAGCGGCGUGGCUGAAUGCCACGUCUCUGCUCACAGGUCCUCCAUGCCAGAAGGGCCUCCCUGACCAUCCACCCAUCACUCUCUCUUUAACCCCCUAUUGCAUUUUCCUAAAAUGAUUGUGCCUGUGUAGUCAGUUGCUUGUUUGGGGUUCAUGCCCUCCAAGAGAAGGACAGUCCUAGGAGAGUGGCCCUCCGAGGGCUUUGUUCCCAGCUGGUAGCCCAGCAUGGCAAAUGGUACCUAGCACACGUGGGCAGCUCAAUACAAACAUGUUGAAAGAGAGUUUAAUGAAGGAGCGUAGCCUCAGGGCCCCCAAACGCAGAGGGCAGAAUGCUCGGCUGCGAAGCCCACUUUUGUGGGGCUGGCCACCUUGGGGCGCAUUUGUUUAUUUCUCCAGCCAGUUGGAAUUUAGCCUUUGGCAGAUUCCUGAGGUCUUCUGGACCUCAGUUUCUGCAUCUGUCAAGUGGGGCUAUGGUUAUUGGCCCUUUCCUUGCAGAGGUGUGUUGGGGAUGAACUAAAUCAACCCCCCGAACACUUAAGAAAAUGCCUGCCUCAGAAGAGCCUCAGUAAAUGUCAUCUCUCAUCACCGUCAUCCCCAUGACUUGGCUGGAGUAGGCGGUGAAGAUGAGAGAAUGGGCUCUGGGGCCCUCCCAGAAGAUUAGGGGAUUAAUGCAGCUUGCAAGGCCAAAGCUGUCCCCACUUGGUUUUGCCAGCUUCUGCUCCAUCCACGAAAUAAACCGGAUGAAGCCUUUAUCCAUCUCUUGUUUUGAAAAGGAGGCUGUCAGAGACUGUGGAUUUAAUGUGGCAGAUGGUGCUGUCCUUGCAUUAGGAAACCAAAGGAGGAAAUUAAAGUGCUCGUUGCAACAGAUAUGGGCCAGCGGGGGUAGAGGGCAGGGGGUGGGGCACGAAGGAGGCCAGAGGAGAUGUUUUAUCAGUUGGACAAUGGCUAUUCUUGAGGGUAGCUGGAGUCCUAGAAUAACAUAAUUUUAGAGCUUAAAAUAAUUUUAGGCUAUCUCCUGCAUUUUAUAUAGGCAAAUAAAGCCCAGAGAAGUGACCCCCAAGUUCACACAGCCAGUUGUUGGCAGAGCAAACCACACCUCGUUUUAUUGAACAGGGUUAUUUUUGUUGCCCCAGGCCGAGGCCAGUGGCAGCCUCUGUCUCAGGGCAUCCUGACUUGGGCACCUCUACUCUGGAGAGAACAAGGCACAUGCCCCCCCUGUCUCUUCCCAGAACAGCAGAGGGAGUAUGAGCCAGAGCCCUGGAGCUAUUCUGUCUGGGCCCUCGACCUCAGUUUGCUCAUCUGUAAAAUGGGAAUAAAACAGCCCCUACCUUGCAGGGUCACUGUGAGAAUUUGAUGAGUGAUUAUCAUGUAAAGUAUUUAAUCACGGGCUGGGCACCUAGUAAAUGCUCUAUGAAAUGUUCUUAUUAUGGCCCCAGAAUUGACGUUAGGGUAUAGCUGUGCCUGGGUUGUGAGCCCCUCAGAGGCUGUUUCCAGCUAUGGGACAUCUUUUGUCCCCUAUGCCUUACCAGGCAACCGACGCCUGCCUGGGGCUCAGCAAAUGGUAGUGGCUGACAACUGGCCCCCUGAGGGACACCCAUUUCUGAGUUGGCACCAUGAAGCACCAGGAAAUGCCGCCAGCAAUGCAUGUGACUUUUGUUGCUGGUUUAGACUUUAAUCCUAAAUGGAUAAAGCAACCCUGCCCAGUGGUGAACCAUCUCGUGAUGAGGGCUGUGUUUGUUUUCCCAGCCUUUCUCAGUAGCACAGAAUUUUUCCCCAACUAGCUGUGGGCUAUUUGCAUUUAAAUUGGUUUUCUCUCAUUACAGAAAUCUCUUAGGUCAGCUGGAGUUUCCAUUUUCCUCAGCAUCAGUCUGGAAGCUCCAUUUCUUGCUCAGGGUCCCUCAGGCCUUCCUUCCUCUCCCUGACAGUGAGAUGUGGUCACUUAUGCUCAUUGUGGAGGCCAGAUAGCUUGAGAAAGUCACCCAAAUCCUGGGAGAGCUUGGUGUGCUUCUCCCAGGAGAAGGUGGGGGCCGGGGGGUGGGGGUGGGGGAGCUGGAAGAUUCUGGUCCCUGUGCUCACAGGAAGGAGACAGCUUCAGGAUCUAAGCCUCGUUUUCUCAUUUUUUUUCAUAAAACAUCCAUUGACUAAGCAUGAUGCUGGGUGUAUCACGUAUGGAAUGCAGAGAUCAAUAAGAUGCAUUUACUGCCUUCUGGGAGUUCCUUGUCUAGUAAAGGAGAGAGAAAAGCAGAGGAAUACAAAAAAUCAUUACACAGUCAAAUAAUUGCUUUGAUAAGGAUCAGGAUAGAUUCCAGCCAGAGAAGAGGCUUGCAGACAGUGCACAGGCAUACACAUGUGCAUGUACACACUAGCUAAUGUGUUUAUAGUACUUACCAUGCGGUCAGGCAUCUUUCUAAGCAGAUAAUUUAUUGUUUAUAUAUAUACACACACACUCACAUAUACACAUAUACCUAUAUCAACAUUAUGUAUUUAUAUAUAUAUUUUUAUUGUGCUAUGCUUUAUUGUUCUUCCCAGAUACCGUGUUUUUUAUAAAUUGAAGGUUUGUGCCAACCCUGUGCCAAGCCAAGUCUACUGGUGCCAUUUUUCCAAUAGCAUCAUUGUUUUUAAUGGCCAUACCCGUGGCAUAUGGAAGUUCUCUGGGCCAGGAACUGAAUCUCAGCUUUAGCUGUGAUCUACACUGCAGCUGUAGGUGCUAGGCUGAUAAUUAAACCCACACCUCCACAGCGACCUGAGCCACUGCAGCCAGGUUCUUCAGCCACUGUGCCACAGCAGGAACUCCAGCACCAUUUUUUGAAAUUAAAAUACGUGCAUUGUUGACAGUUCCUGUUGUGGCUCAGUGGCUUAAGAAUCUGACUAGUAUCCAUGAGGAUGAGGGUUUGAUCCCUGGCCUUGCUCAGUGGGUUAAAGGACCACGUUACCGAGAGCUGCUGUGUAGGUAGCGGUCGCAGCUCGGAUCCGCUGUUACCGUGGCUGUGGCGUAGGCUGGCAGCUGCAGCUCCAAUUCGACCACUAGGUUGAGAACGUCCAUAUGCUGUGGGUAUGGACACAAAAAGACAAAAAAGAAAAAAAAGAUAUGUACAUUGUUUUCUUAGAAUAAUGCAAUUACACACUACAGUAUAGUUAAUUCAGUCUUCACGACAGGCCAUAAAGGAAGUGCUCUGUUAUCAUUGUUUUCCAGAUGAGGGAAAUGAAGCACAGAAAGAUGAAAUCAUUGCCCAAGGUCACUGCUAAUACACUGUGCAGCUAGACUUGAACCCUCACGGUCUGGCUCCAGAGCCUGUGCUAUUCAUCCUAUGUUAUGACCACACCUGACAAAGAUGUGCUUUUGUGUUUUCUAGUCUAGUUCAUCUUUCAAGAAGAGCUAGUCAAGAUCCACUACGCUGCCAUUCUAACCCAUCUAUAGGCUGUGAACUGUGGUUUGUGAAGAGUGAAUUGAACUGUGGGAGUGCCCACGUCUGCCUGAGAGAAUCAGGGAGGGCAAAACAGGGAGAAGAUGCUGGUGGUGGAUUUGAACGAUGACGAGGAUUUUUCCAGAUGAGUAAGAGGACGAUCAGAGCUACAUCCUGAAGAACAAGACUGGGCUGAUCCCCAAAGUAUGAGCGAGUGUGGAAGUCUAGGUCUGGAAAGCCCCACAUUGUGCGAUGGUGCUCAGGUGAGAUGUAGGCGGCGCAGGUGGCAAGGCAUGGGACUGGCCACCCAAGCCUUUUGGCCAAGACCAAACCAUAACAGGACCUGAAUGUCAUGUUCAUGGCCUGAGGGCCAGACUAGGAUAGGGGCAUAGCUGGUUAGAAAGAUCACUCUGGCUCUGAUGGAGGAGGCUCUCUCUGGACAGGGAGGCGAGAAGACAGUAUAAUCAAGAGAUGGAACCGAGAAGUCAAAGAGCAAUAAUUGAUUGGGUGUAAUCAAUAGGGUUAGAUGGUUUUGGUUUUGUUUUUGUUUUUCCU